UUGUCUUUUAAAUGAAGACUCGUAUCAACGGMAUCACGAGGGUUCCGCUGUCUCCUUUUUCUAAUCAGUGAAACUAAUCUACCCGUGAAGAAGCGGGUAUAACACUAUAAGACGAGAAGACCCCAUGGAGCUUUAAACCUAGCUGCACCCCCCCCCCCAUACCCUCUACCACCCGGGGCCCCUCAUGCCAGGUUUUAGGUUGGGG
rnacentral:rRNA from 1 species